UACAGAGGGUGCGAGCGUUAAUCGGAAUUACUGGGCGUAAAGCGCACGUAGGCGGCUUGCCAAGUCGGGUGUGAAAUCCCCGGGCUCAACCUGGGAACUGCAUCCGAAACUGGCUUGCUAGAGUAUGGGAGAGGGAGGCGGAAUUUCUGGUGUAGCAGUGAAAUGCGUAGAUAUCAGAAGGAACAUCAGUGGCGAAGGCGGCCUCCUGGACCAAUACUGACGAUCAGGUGCGAAAGCGUGGGGAGCAAACAGG
rnacentral:rRNA from 1 species